rnacentral:rRNA from 1 species
AGCGAACGCUGGCGGCAGGCCUAACACAUGCAAGUCGAACGAACUCUUCGGAGUUAGUGGCGGACGGGUGAGUAACACGUGGGAACGUGCCUUUAGGUUCGGAAUAACUCAGGGAAACUUGUGCUAAUACCGAAUGUGCCCUUCGGGGAAAGAUUUAUCGCCUUUAGAGCGGCCCGCGUCUGAUUAGCUAGUUGGUGAGGUAAAGGCUCACCAAGGCUACGAUCAGUAGCUGGUCUGAGAGGAUGACCAGCCACAUUGGGACUGAGACACGGCCCAAACUCCUACGGGAGGCAGCAGUGGGGAAUCUUGCGCAAUGGGCGAAAGCCUGACGCAGCCAUGCCGCGUGGAUGAUGAAGGUCUUAGGAUUGUAAAAUCCUUUCACCGGUGAAGAUAAUGACUGUAGCCGGAGAAGAAGCCCCGGCUAACUUCGUG